UACGGAGGGUGCGAGCGUUGUCCGGAAUCAUUGGGCGUAAAGGGCGCGCAGGUGGCGGUGUUGGCCCGGCGUGAAAGCCCCCGGCUCAACCGGGGAGGGUCGUCGGGGACCGCACCGCUUGAGGGCGGUAGGGGCUGGUGGAAUGCCUGGUGUAGUGGUGAAAUGCGUAGAGAUCAGGCGGAACACCCGUAGCGAAGGCGGCCAGCUGGGCCGUCCCUGACACUGAGGCGCGAAGGCGUGGGGAGCGAACGGG
rnacentral:rRNA from 1 species